UACGGAGGGAGCUAGCGUUGCUCGGAAUCACUGGGCGUAAAGCGCACGUAGGUGGGUCGCUAAGUCGGGGGUGAAAUCCUGGAGCUCAACUCCAGAACUGCCUUCGAUACUGGCGAUCUUUGAGUCCGGGAGAGGUGGGUGGAACUGCGAGUGUAGAGGUGAAAUUCGUAGAUAUUCGCAAGAACACCAGUGGCGAAGGCGGCUUACUGGUCCGGUUCUGACGCUGAGGCGCGAAAGCGUGGGGAGCAAACAGG
rnacentral:rRNA from 1 species